GUGCUCGCUUCGGCAGCACAUAUACUAACAUUGGAACUGGAACGAUACAGAGAAGAUUAGCAUGGCUCCUGCGCAAGGAUGACACGAAAAUUCGUGAAGCUUCCAUAUUUUUU
ensembl:snRNA LOC120095352 U6 spliceosomal RNA